rnacentral:rRNA from 1 species
AUGCAAGUCGAACGGUAACAUGACUAGCUUGCUAGUUGAUGACGAGUGGCGGACGGGUGAGUAACGCGUAGGAAUCUACCCAGUAGCGGGGGAUAAGCCAGAGAAAUUUGGUCUAAUACCGCAUACGCCCUUCGGGGGAAAGCAGGGGAUCUUCGGACCUUGCACUAUUGGAUGAGCCUGCGUGAGAUUAGCUAGUUGGUGAGGUAAUGGCUCACCAAGGCGACGAUCUCUAGCUGGUCUGAGAGGAUGAUCAGCCACACUGGAACUGAGACACGGUCCAGACUCCUACGGGAGGCAGCAGUGGGGAAUAUUGCACAAUGGGCGCAAGCCUGAUGCAGCCAUGCCGCGUGUGUGAAGAAGGCCCUAGGGUUGUAAAGCACUUUCAGCAGUGAGGAAAGGUUAGUAGUUAAUACCUGCUAGCUGUGACGUUAACUGCAGAAGAAGCACCGGCUAACUCCGUGCCAGCAGCCGCGGUAAUACGGAGGGUGCGAGCGUUAAUCGGAAUUACUGGGCGUAAAGCGCGCGUAGGUGGAUUGGUCAGUCAGAUGUGAAAGCCCAGGGCUCAACCUUGGAACUGCACCUGAUACUGGCAAUCUA